CUAGUCUCCAGACACUUCCCCCCCACAGUGUGUUGCCUCAACUUGACUAAUGAACAUUUAAGCCGUGCAAGUAGUCCAGAUUCUUUUAAGGACAAUGUUGUCACAUAUUCUGUAAAGUGUAGACAGUUCGUAAGCUUUUACUAGUGUUAAAAGAAUGUUGAUGGUUUAAAUACUGGUGUGGGUGUAGUCUGGGACCACUACAUCACACCAGACGGUUUACUGGUGUUCCUUCACUCAGGAGCAGAACCAGUUGUCUGCACUAGUUGUCUCUUCUCUCCGUACCAGAAGUCCUCCUUCAGGUACCGCGGUGUUCUUUGGUCCCUCAGCCCCAGCUUGGCUCAGCCUUAAAGACUACAGCAAACUCUACACUCCAUCCUGUGGAACACCUGGUAACAUGGUCAGCUGCAUGAUGUGUUUGCAGCGUUACUGGAGUUUGGCAGAAUUAUAACAUUGCGACAGAUCAUGUUGGACCUCUCCAGUCACCUCUGAAGAUGAACACAGGGAAGGUUGCCAACCGUCUCCGGUAAUUAAGACAAAUAUAAAAGGCAGAGACAAGAGGCACAACAGUGGCGUCUGCUGCUUGGUGAGAGGUGGACGUGCUGCUGCUGCUCCACACUUGGUUCUUGCACGUGGCUGUUGCUGCAGCUGGAUAUUGUCACUGUGCCACAGACUGCUGCAGCUGGAUAUUGUCACUGUGCCACACUGUUGCAGUGAAACGGUGCCUUUGAGAGGCGAGGAAAUGGCUAAGGCGGUCUCCCUAAGUGGUAUACAAUCCUACACUGGGCCAGAAGUAAGAGCGAAGAUGAGACAUGAUCCCAGGCUGUAUCUUGGUAAUAAACACAAACGGCCAAAUAUUCAGACCGGGACGUGACAGUGAAGAUUAAAUCCUGCCAAAUUAUCUUGCAGAGUUUUCUUUAGUUGUCAAUGUUCCAAACAUUUUGUUCAAAUAAAAGGGGUCAAUCAUUUUCUUGUGCCUAGGCUUUCAUUUGCCAGCAUGACAAUUGUCAGGUCAUGCCAGUAAUGGUAGCAUAUCUACAAUAGACAAUCUACAUGGAUCAGGGAUUGAGUAGGAUACUUUAUACUUUUAAGUCCUCAUCGCGAAGUAUUAAGGCUAGAUGCCAAAGUUACGGUUAGUGGAAAUAGAUCUAAUAAUUUCUGAAGGCCGUUUUCUCAUUCCGAAGUUUGUAUAUUUAUACUACCAUAAGAUUUAUUGCUAUAAAUGUUCAUACUAGUUUCAGACAUAUUUCAGACUAUACAUGUUAUUUUCACUUCGUUUUGGUUAGUAAAGAAUAAAACAAAUUUGGCUUGUUACUCUCAUAGUUAAAUAAAAGCCAAGCACCUGUCAAUAUCUAACAUACGCGGGUCACUUAGAAAAAGCCAUUUUCAUGAUUUGUCUAUUCUAAGAUUGGCUGGUAUUUAAUAGUGGGUUUCCAGAGGUCACAUUUAAAUUACACUAUUCCAUUUUCUAUACUAAUACCCAGUGAAAUAACAUUGCCUGCAAUAAAUUUUGUUUGCAUGCGCCCAAGUUGGAUGUAUGCAGAAGUGUUUGAAUUUUGAGUUUUUCUAUGCAAGGUAUUGUACUGGGAUAUGAUUUAAAUUAUAAAUUAAUACAAUCAUUUAAUUCGUUGUAUAGCGUUGACAUAAUUGCAUUAUUUAAUUAGCCCGGUUAUAUACAAAUAUCUAAAUCCUCAAAGGCAGUUAUAUACAUUAAAAGACUGAUGUUUGUCCCGUAUUGUUUAAUCACCUUGUCUUUGUGGUUUGUAUGUUACAGCACCACUUGAAAGAUAAAAUAAAAUGCUUUGGCAUAGUGAUUGAAA
rnacentral:lncRNA from 1 species